AGGAAUCUGCCUAUUAGUGGGGGACAACAUCUCGAAAGGGAUGCUAAUACCGCAUACGUCCUACGGGAGAAAGCAGGGGAUCACUUGUGACCUUGCGCUAAUAGAUGAGCCUAAGUCGGAUUAGCUAGUUGGUGGGGUAAAGGCCUACCAAGGCGACGAUCUGUAGCGGGUCUGAGAGGAUGAUCCGCCACACUGGGACUGAGACACGGCCCAGACUCCUACGGGAGGCAGCAGUGGGGAAUAUUGGACAAUGGGGGGAACCCUGAUCCAGCCAUGCCGCGUGUGUGAAGAAGGCCUUAUGGUUGUAAGGCACUUUAAGCGAGGAGGAGGCUCUUUUGGUUAAUACCCAAGAUGAGUGGACGUUACUCGCAGAAUAAGCACCGGCUAACUCUGUGCCAGCAGCCGCGGUAAUACAGAGGGUGCAAGCGUUAAUCGGAUUUACUGGGCGUAAAGCGCGCGUAGGCGGCCAAUUAAGUCAAAUGUGAAAUCCCCGAGCUUAACUUGGGAAUUGCAUUCGAUACUGGUUGGCUAGAGUGUGGGAGAGGAUGGUAGAAUUCCAGGU
rnacentral:rRNA from 1 species